GACGAACGCUGGCGGCGUGCCUAAUACAUGCAAGUCGCGCGAAGCGGCGGCUGGGUGAGUACCGCGUGGGUAACCUGCCCUUAAGUCUGGGAUACCAUUUGGAAACAGAUGCUAAUACCGGAUACUCCAGGAUGGACCUGCGAUGCAUUCGCUAGUUGGUAAGGUACCGGCUUACCAAGGCGAUGAUGCAUAGCCGAGGUGAGAGAAUGAUCGGCAAGAUUGGGACGGAGACACGGCCCAAACUCCUACGGGAGGCAGCAGUAGGGAAUCUUCCACAAUGGACGAAAGUCUGAUGGAGAAACGCCGCGUGAGUGAAGAAGGUUUUAGGAUCGUAAAGCUCUGUUGUUGGUGAAGCGGUAAUCAACCAGAAAGUCACGGCUAACUACGUGCCAGCAGCCGCGGUAAUUC
rnacentral:rRNA from 1 species